AGCGAACGCUGGCGGCAGGCUUAACACAUGCAAGUCGAGCGGGCACUUUCGGGUGUCAGCGGCGGACGGGUGAGUAACGCGUGGGAACGUGCCCUCUGGUUCGGAAUAACUCAGGGAAACUUGAGCUAAUACCGGAUACGCCCUUUUGGGGAAAGGCUUGGUGCCGGAGGAUCGGCCCGCGUCUGAUUAGCUAGUUGGUGAGGUAACGGCCUACCAAGGCGACGAUCAGUAGCUGGUCUGAGAGGAUGAUCAGCCACACUGGGACUGAGACACGGCCCAGACUCCUACGGGAGGCAGCAGUGGGGAAUAUUGGACAAUGGGCGCAAGCCUGAUCCAGCCAUGCCGCGUGAGUGAUGAAGGCCUUAGGGUUGUAAAGCUCUUUUAUCCGGGACGAUAAUGACGGUACCGGAGGAAUAAGCCCCGGCUAACUUCGUG
rnacentral:rRNA from 1 species